GAUUAUCGACUGAAUCAGCCCAAUCACUAUCAAAACAAUAAAAAAAAAAAUCGUUUAUAUCACAGUCCGUGGACUCUUAUGCCUUUCAGGUUUCUCAAUAUCUUUUUCGCCUUCUAUAUCAAUUUAAACCCAAUAACUUCUUUUUUUUUUUUAUACACAAUUCAAUAAGCUUGCAAGAAUUAUUUUCCUCUAACACCUCAAUGUCUUCAUUCAUAG
rnacentral:lncRNA from 1 species